rnacentral:tmRNA from 2 species
GGGGAUGCAUUGCAUCGACGUAAUCGCUCUUUACCAACUGCAGACUGUCUUUGGCCAAAAGACAUCAAACAGGGCUACAAAUUUAACUGCCAAUUCAUUGCGCAGCAAAGUCGCAGGCAUGAUUGAGUUCGCUCAAUCAUUGUUUGCUUCACCUGUUUUAGCUUACGCUUAAAUAGGCAUUCAGAGAGGUUUUCUUACUGAUGGGACACUCUGGGUGAAAAAACAAUCAGUAUGCCAUCAAACGAUUGAUACGACGUUUGAUGAAAGAUUAGUAUCGGUUGCCUCAACCGGGUUGGAAUGUUUCCCUCUGAGGUAAUACCAAAAGCAUUCUAUGUCUGUAGAGGUUGGCUAGGAAACGAUUAUCGGACGGGGGUUCAUUACCCCCCAUCUCCACAU